CAUAGACUUGCCUCGUUAUACUAA
rnacentral:piRNA from 1 species